rnacentral:piRNA from 1 species
GCAGCUUCCUUGUCUUUAAUGUCAUGCGCCUU